GACGAACGCUGGCGGCGUGCUUAACACAUGCAAGUCGAACGGGCCCGCCCCUGUUUUUGGGGGUGGGUUGAGUGGCGAACGGGUGAGUAUCACGUGAGUAACCUGCCCCCUGCUCCUGGAUAACUGCUUGAAAGGGCGGCUAAUACGGGGUGUGCCGGCUGGUCCGCAUGGGCCCGGUCGGGAUAGUUUCAUCUUCGGGUGUUUCGGUGGGGGAUGGGCUCGCGGCCUAUCAGCUUGUUGGUGGGGUGAUGGCCCACCAAGGCGGUGACGGGUAGCCGGCCUGAGAGGGUGGGCGGCCACACGGGGACUGAGACACGGCCCAGACUCCUGCGGGAGGCAGCAGUGGGGGGUAUUGCACAAUGGGCGGAAGCCUGAUGCAGCGACGUCGCGUGAGGGAUGGAGGCCUUCGGGUUGUGAACCUCUUUCUCCGGUGGUGAAGGCCCUGUCCGUUGCGGCGGGGUUGACGGUAGCCGGGUAUGAAGCGCCGGCUAACUACGUG
rnacentral:rRNA from 1 species